UUACCACAGUGUCUCCAGUUUACAGCGAGGAUCCUCCAGUACAGCAGAGAGCAGAUGAACUGAAUCUCCUAGUUUAUUCUCAGACAGAUUCAGUUGUCUCAGGUGUGAGGGGUUUGAUCUCAGAGCUGAAGCCAGAGCAGCACAACCUUCAUCUGUGACUCCACAAUCCCUCAACCUGUAGAGAACAAUGACACACUCUUCACUCUCUCAGUUCAGAUCAACAGGUACAAGUCACAAUUCUACACAUUAAACAUGUCUAAUAUAUGUCUUAAAUAUAUUAAUUUGUUGUUUGUUAAUUAUUGUAUGAUCCACUGAUUUUGUGGUGAAGGCUCAAAACAAAAUCAACCUUUUUCAAUGAUUUCAGAAAAAGUACAAAAUAAGCAAAGAGAGGAUCAGGUUGUCAUGUUUUGUCUGUUCAUGUGGUUCUUUGUAUUUAGUUUCUUUGUUUGUCCCUGUUCAUUUGUUACCUUGGUUACUCAUUUGUUCAUUGUUCACACCUGUUCCUUGUUUUACCCAUCAUUUUGUAAGUGUAUUUAUAGCCCAGUGUUUCAGUUCCUGGUUGUUCAUUCUUCUUGUUGUUUUGAUGGUUUGUUUCUUGGUUCUCUUUCAUUACUCUUCUCCAGUUCUCUGUUAUAUUGAGUUUGUUUGGUUUUUGUACACUGUAAAUGAUUUUUGUUGUUUUCACAGUAAUAUUACUGUAUUCUCAACAGUUCUUUACUGUAGAAUCUGUGUACAGUAUGUUGAUGUAGAUUUUGUUUUCACAGUAUUAUCACUGUAUUUUCAACAGUUUCGUACUGUAUGAGCUGCAGUAUGUUACUGUAGAUUUUCAAUGCAUUCUGGGAAAAUAGUAGCCUACUGUAAAUCUAAAUACAGUACAAAAUGACCUCAAAAAACAACCACACGUCCUCACACAACGGCUCUGUGACAGACUCAUCGUGAAGAUGAAAGCACACAAGAGUAUGGUGGGUUAACUAAUUUUUUAGA